GCAGUAAUAUUUGAAAUGUUGUUGACUACUCAACUUAUUAUAAUUAAAUUAAACGUUGAAUAAAGGAUUUUUUUAGAUUUUGAGAAUGUAUUUGUUUUACUAUAGAUGAUGUGCACGUGUAUUAGAUUCCGAGCGUAGCAAGCAAAUUGUCUAUUAGAAAUGUUCCUACAAUCGAAAAAGGUCGAGAGACUUUUUGUCGAAUUUCG